rfam:Morus notabilis contig8989, whole genome shotgun sequence.
GUACCUAUGAUGAUAUCAGUUAUCAAAUACCAUCUUUCGGGACUGAUACGGCAUUUUAUGCCUUGAUGUUAUUCUGCAAUUCUGAGGUAG